ACCUGUGAUAAAAUAAAAUGUCAAAAUGUUUUGAGUGUCCAUGGCAAUAAAUGACUAACAUAAUUGUUUGUUACACUCUUAACAUGUGAUUUCAGAAUGGGGGCAGUGGAGACAAGAGGUGUGAUUAUUUUGCGCAAGCGCAAUUAACUAAAAGUUGUCUUUUUCAAUAUGACGAUCCAUUUCUUACAGUUCAAAAUAGAACAUUUUACAGACAUAAAUGGUUAAAAAUUUUGAAUUUUCUUAGGCACUGAUUGGCUAAAAAUAUAGGUUGACUUCUUAUCUUAUUUCAUUAUAUUUAUUGCUUUAAAAAAAUAUUAGUGAUAGAAAAUUUCAUAAUUACAAACAUAAAGUACAUAAUUUCAUCAAUUACAAAUAUUUGAUGGUGAAAAUCAUUAAAAUUGCCUUUAAACAAAUCAACUUAAUGCUUACAAUUGCCUUGUAUCUCAUGAAAUAGAGUAUAUGUACUUCUGUUUACAUAUAAUAUAUUUGAUAUUUUUGUAAACUCCUCAAUCACAACUGUUAACAUUUUCUCUAUUUGAAUUCCUUUGAUUUUUUAGACCUCAACAUUGAAGAUGUUAUAGAAGAGAAUGAUGAUAAUGAUGAAGUUGACACUGAAGAAUCAUGUUUGGACAGACAUUUAGCAAGUGUUCAACAACAUAAUGAUUCAGUCAGUCAGACAAAUAAACCUGAACAAAAUGAUGAUUUAGUCAUUCAGAAAAAUAAACCUGCAGAUAUGGAGUGUAAUAAUGAAUCAGAUUAUGAUGAUGACAUUGUAUAUGCUACAAAAAGAAAAAAAUUGCGAGUGUUGGAUAGUUCUUCAGAUGAAGAAGA